CCACAAGCUACAUGUGACUACUGAGCACUUGGAAGAGGACUAGUGGAACUGAGACAUGCUGUCACCCAGGCUGGAGUGCAGUAGUGCCAUCACUGCUAAGUGCAGCCUCAAACUCCUGGACUCAAGCAAUCCUCCUGCCUCAACCUCCCCAAUGGCUGGGACUGUAGGCAUGCCACCAUGCCCAGCUAAUUUUAAAAUUUUUAUUUUGUAUGGAUGGUGUCUCACUAUGUUGCCCAGGUUGGUCUUGAACUCCUAGUGUCAGAGGCAUUUGAACCAGAGCAACUCAAUCUUGAAUAGGGGCUGGGUAAAAUAACUGAGACCUCCUGGGCUGCGUUCCCAGGUUAGGCAUUCUUAGUCACAGGAUGAGAUAGGAGGCCGGCACAAGAUACAGGUCACAAAGACCUUGCUGAUAAAACAGGAUGUGGUAAAGAAGCCGGCCAAAACCCACCAAAACCAAAAUGAUGAUGAAAGUGACCUCUUGUUGACCUCACUGCUCAUGAUAUGCUAAUUAGAAUGCAUUAGCAUGCUAAAAGACACUCCCACCAGCUCCAUGACAGUUUACAAAUGCCGUGGCAAUGUUCUGAAGUUAUCCUUUAUGGUCUAAAACGGGAAGGAACGCUCAAUUCCUGGAAAUCCCCAUCCCUUUCCCAGAAAACUCAUGAAUAAUCCACCCCUUGUUUAGCGUAUAGUCAAGAAAUAACUAUAAGUACAUUCAGGUGGGCAGCACAUACCAUUGCUCUGCCUAUGGAGUAG
rnacentral:lncRNA from 1 species